GUGUGGGUUGAGUGAAGUACCUAGCAUCAUCCCUUUACAAGUGCUAACUUAAGCCUAACCUAUACAUACGACAUUGAGCUGACGGCAAAGUCCCAAUCAGGGUGGACCGUCGUGGAGGAGUGUCAGACUGACUGAACCGUUGGUGGUUCAUCCUUACCUUAGCUUCCCUGAGCCUCUUCACCUACUCUUUACGACACAGUAUAUCCUCUAUCGUGCCGUAGAAGGAUUGAGUACCGUGAGAAGACGCGGUUAAGAUUUGAUCGUAUCUGAUGCGUUCGGAGUUCCGGGCAGAAUGUCCACUGGCCCGAUCAGUAGAUCGCUUGGGGCAAUACUUCUGCCACCGACAUACACUCUAACCGCUUGCUAGAAAGGUUCCUAGUGUGGAAAGUUAAAAAGCGUGUGCUCAGUAGUGUUUUCCGGUUCUAGACAGUACUAACACUUUGCAUCUGGAGCAUGUUCCAUGCAACAAAGGUAAUGACUGUAUCACCCUUGAUCUGAAAACACACUCGAGUGACGUGAAAAUUGAGGUCCUUGGGAUGUCU